UAGAGUUUGAUUAUGGCUCAGAACGAACGCUGGCGGCAUGCCUAACACAUGCAAGUCGAACGAGACCUUCGGGUCUAGUGGCGCACGGGUGCGUAACGCGUGGGAAUCUGCCCUUGGGUUCGGAAUAACUCGCCGAAAGGCGUGCUAAUACCGGAUGAUGUCGUAAGACCAAAGAUUUAUCGCCCAGGGAUGAGCCCGCGUAAGAUUAGGUAGUUGGUGAGGUAAAGGCUCACCAAGCCGACGAUCUUUAGCUGGUCUGAGAGGAUGAUCAGCCACACUGGGACUGAGACACGGCCCAGACUCCUACGGGAGGCAGCAGUGGGGAAUAUUGGACAAUGGGCGAAAGCCUGAUCCAGCAAUGCCGCGUGAGUGAUGAAGGCCUUAGGGUUGUAAAGCUCUUUUACCCGGGAUGAUAAUGACAGUACCGGGAGAAUAAGCUCCGGCUAACUCCGUGCCAGCAGCCGCGGUA
rnacentral:rRNA from 1 species